rnacentral:lncRNA from 1 species
UUUCAUUGAUGUAAAGAUCAUUCUAUUCAAAUAAAGGUCCAUUCAUUCAUUCAACACUUAUAUUGUCCAUUACAAAAGGAAAUACAAAAAAAAAAAACGUAAAUUUUACAAAGGUUGACUUUUUGUCAACCGGUUGACCAAAGUCAAUCAACCUCUUUUUCCAUGACCUAAACCCUAGUACUAAUUGUAGCUUCAUUCUUCAUUCUUCAAUCUUCCAUGACUCCAUUUGCUUCAUGAGCAAGAAAACUCAACUUUGCACCAAGUUUGCUUCUUGCUAUGCCAUGAAUGCUCACUUGCCUUGCCUCCACCUUACCUUGCAACUUUGUCAAGCUAGCCCUGCACUCAAUCCAUAAACAAUGCAGAAUCAGUCCAUACAUUAGCAUACAUAGGUUCAUUCAUAUGGCUCACAUACCUAACUUUCAAGUCCUAAGUUGCAUGACAUCAAGCAUUAACCACGUCCAUACAUGACAUCAAGCAAUCAUGCUCAUGAUAAUAACAUUUACUACUGGAGUAAAAAACUAACAACUCAUGUUCAUACACCAUGAUAUCAAUUCAAUUUCCAACCACAUAACAAGCAUAAUCAUCCCUAACAGUUCAUAACCUUUUGGGAGUUAACAAUAACAUUUUGCAACUUUAGCAUGCAUCAUUAAUUACCUAAUAGAUACCAUCCAAUUCACAACAGGUAUAGUCAAAGCAUAACAUGGUUUUCAUCAUAACAGUCUAAUCUAGUUGCAUUAUUGACAACAGUUCAAACUUGUUUCUAACUUACUAACCAAUUACUAAUGCUAUUUACUAAUACUUUCAUGGUAAGAAUUUAACAUAGCAAUCAGUCCAGCAUAACAAUCAGGAUCUUCUAAUUUCCCUAAUUGCUAACAAUUAACAGUUCGUUAACUGACUAAUUCAUAGUUAACUGAUAACAACAUUUCAUUAACAUGAAUUUAAACUAACCAUAACCUCCUAACUCUAACUGCACAAUAAUAAGCACCACAAUAUAACAUAGUUCAUCUAAUUCAAUAAUAUUCUAACUUCACUUAACUAACUGAAGCAUCUAACAACUAACAAACUAACAAUUAACAGAACUCAACCAACUCAAACUAAACCUAACAGAGAUUAAUAAUAGAAUAUUAAGCCUCCAACAGACUUCAACAUGAAAAUUUCUAACAGAGUUAUCAUUCUAAUCCAAUCACUUUUCAUUUUGACCAAUCAUUAGCAUAAUCACCAUUAUUCUGAAAUCACAGAAAUUCACUUGCGCUCCUUCAUUUCACUCCACAGACUCAUAUUGCAAAUCUCACAUUUCUCUUCAUCAAAAUCUCUCACUCUCCACCAGUUUCAAGCUCUCUCACGCAUGCAUUAACAUAGCAAUAACCACGAUCACACACAGAACAGAAGAGGAAUCAAAGAGCAGAAGAAGAACAAAAGAGUUGAAAGCAGAGAAGCGGAUCGAAGAAGAGAAAAGAGGAGAAUUGGUACUUGCACAGUCAUCGGAGAAGCAUUGCAUCAUCAUGAGCAACUGCCUCUUGCUCAUACUAUCAGAUUAAAUUUAUCGAACGCGGCCACGAUACGUCCGCAAAUCUUCUCAAUUUUGUGCAUGAAUACGGAUUGAUUCCGAUUUGGUAAGGACGGACGACGAAUUGAAUAGGAAUUUGGUGAAGCUCCAUCUUGGAUCCGGAGUCGAUUUCUUCAUAGCUUGUGUUUUAUUUUUUUGAGAGUGAAGAAGCGUAGAAUCAAAAAUGAAGUUGAGUUUGUUGAGUUUGUGUGUGGCCUGAAUAUGUUGGCUUGGGUCCGUUUUGGUGGUUUGGAGCUUGGGAUUGGGGGCCUAGCUGGACCAAGCACCUUUCAAUACACACCACCUGCUUUGGGCUUGCACACCCCUUGAAUCUUAAUUAAUUAAUCACUUAAUUAAUUUAAUCACUUAUGAUUAGGCUUAAUCAUAUUUCUAUUUUUUUUCUUAAUUGAUUAAUCAUGUUUGUUAUAUGGAUUAAUUAUAAUUUAUGUUAGUCAUUUAAUUAGUUAAUUAUGAUUUAAUCAAUUAGUUGUCAUUAGUAGAUAUAACUGUUAAUUAAUCAAUUAAUUAAAACCUUUAGAAAUUUUAGGUUUUCGUUAAUUGAACUUAGCUUAAUUUAAUUUUUCAUCACAUAUUCAUGAAUUGUUUUAAUUGAUUAAUUGGUUCUAAAUAAUCUUGAUUUUAUUUCCAUUUAAUCAAAUUUAUACAUGUUGACCAUUUUACCCUUAGGUAUAGGAUUUCUGAUUUUGGCAUGAUCCCUUAGCUUAGAGUUUACUUAGAACCAUUUGAUCCAAUUAACUGAUUAAUCAUUAAAUUGUUGUACAUAGCAUAUCUAAUUUCUUUUAAUCCCACUGAUUAAUAUUGACUAAAGGUCACUUUGGUCAACCAAAUCCUUUGUAUUGUGCUGUAAUCCCCCAAGCCUAUUCAAGUUAUCAAAAGACCCUUGAUCACUUGAUAUGGCAAGACCAUUGUGCUUAAGUUGUAUUGGAUAUGCUAAAUCUCAGGAACUCAAGAUCUCGAGGUUCAAAUCCAAGAUCAAGACUUUAAAGUCAAUGUCAGUCAAGCACAACUAACAAAGUUGACUACUUCUCAAGCACAUCAAAGGUCAACACUUGUCAAUCAUCAUUCAGAUUCUGUGACACGGGCCUUAAGAAAUAGAGAAUAAAUGAGAGUGGAGAAUUCCAUUAACUCAUUCUGGAUAUCUUUGGGUGCGGCACGAAUGACCCAAUUGCUCAUCGUAUUCACCUUUAUUCAUAGACUUUAGCAUAAUUUAAAUCAAAUGAAUGUCAAGUAUUCUUCUACGAAAAGUAGCAUUGCACCAUCAUGAUCAACACCCAGGAUCUCCUAUCAGCAACUUGCCAAUUCUGAUUCAAAGUUGUACGCCAUGAGCCUUAAGAAACAAAGAAUGAUGAGAGUGGAGAAUUCCUAUCCUUGUUUAGGGUAUCCUUGGGCACGAGAGGAAUGGUCUGGUUUCUCAAGGUAUUUGCCUUUGUUCAUAGACUUUAGUGCAAUUUGAAUCAUACAAUUGACAAGCCUCCUUCAAGCAAGCAUCAAUUAUUCAACACUUCAAUAAUGGAGCAUUGUUGCUAUCAGCACCUUGUGGUUGUACACCCUUUUUCAAUCAAUUCAAUCCUCUUUUUCCUGUUAGGUUUUGGACCUUGGAAAACUUUUCUUGCCUGUUAGGUUUUGGACCUUGGUAAUCCUUCUUGCCUGUUAGGUUUUGGACCUUGGCAAUCUUUCUUGCCUUUAAGGUAAUAGACCUUGGCAACUUGAUCUUACCCCUUGAGAUGGUGGACCUUGGCAAGCUCUUUUUGUGCCUAUGGAGUUAUAGACUUUGGCACUUGGUUAUAUUCCUUGACAAUCCCUUUGAUUAGCCUUGUAGAGUUAUGGACUCUUAGGAAUCCCCUUGCCUAUCAGGUUAUGGACCUUGGAAAUGCUUUCCUUUUCCCUGAGAGUUGGACUCUAGCAUCCUUUCUCUCUGCCUUUUAGGUUGUAGACCUUGGUAGCUCAGUUCCUUCCCAUUAUAAGUUAUAGACUCUAGUAGUGAUUCCUUGUCUAGCAAGUUGUGAACCUGGGCACUCCUUUUUCUGCAUCGAAGGGUUGUAUACCUUGCCAAUCAAUAUAUCACUUCUCUUGCCACAGUCUCUUGCUGUUAGCCCUAGUGGGCUAAACUACAAAAGUUAUGACUUUCUCAUUGCACGGUGAGAAUAUGUAGGCACGAGAAUUCAGAUUCUCCGCGGGUUACCCUAUUUAUUACUACCUUAUUUAUUUCCACCUCAGUUUUUCUUCAUUCAUCAAUCAAUACUAUCUUCUUGAGAUCAAAUACAAUUCCUCCUUGGAUUGCAUGCACAUCCUUUUAGGACAAUAUAACGGCAGUCCACCCUAUGAAUCAAGAGAUGUUUGGCAACAAAACCAAACACGUCAUUCCUUCUUUUUUUUGGCUAAGACGCUUGUUCACUCUUAGGUUUGAAGAUUAUUCCUUCAUGGAUCCAAUAUACCAUUCUUCUUUGAUUUCAAAUUGUUUUUUCCGUACUGUGAUAUAUUAUUCACUGUACUAAACAACACUGCAGCCAACCCUUGAAGUUGUGUUUGUCUUAUAAGUCCCUAUUGCUUAGGAAAACACCUCUCUCUUUGUUUCCACUGCAGUUAGCCCUUGGAAUCGUGUUUGUCUUAUAAGUCCCUAUAGCUUAGGCAAACAUACUUUUGUGUCCAUCAUUCUGUUGGUACAAGUUAUACUUUUUAUAACUUCCUUAUCUCUCUUCUUUGUUCUCGUGGUUCCAUGAACUACGAGUGCUCCGACUCUCUCAUUUCACAAUGAGAAUACUUAGGCACAAGGCUUUGAAUCCUUGACGAGCACAAUCCUAAUUAUUUUUAUGGCCUUAGGGCACCACUUAUAUCUUUCAUGAACUAUUAUCUACCUUCAACCAUUGAACCAUCCAUUCCACGUGAUAUGUUGUUAUCUUUGAGCCAAAUACACUAUCUCUUUGAGCUCUAUCUUGUGUCAGCUUGUGAACCAAGAGUUGCUUGUGAUAUGAAACCAAACACUUAAUUCUCUUUGUUUUCAGCCAUACCAUAAGUGGCACCACGCUCUGGCUACCCCCACAUAUGGUUCACACUAAUUUUACUCUUGGGUUCAGAUUUCAUCCCUUUUUGGAGGUCAAAUCAUGUAAUCCUUUGGUUCAGACCAUACCUUGAUCACACCUUCUUUUCAUCUCCCAUCAUUAGUUCCAUUAACUAUGAAGCACUGAAUUCCUUAUUGCAUUAUAAGGAUACGUAGGCAUGAGGACUCUAAUCCUCAUCGAGCAUUCUAUCUAUUCUCUUCUUUCCCCUUAUCCUUUCACGGGUAAUCUUUAGAUAUAACACCCAUUCGAGCAAGAAUAAUCAACAUAACUCCCAUGGAGUACCAUGGAUGUUAGAGGUGUUAAUACCUUCCCCUUGUAUAACCGACUUCCUUACCCAGAUUUCUCUUUCUCUGGGUUUAUCGAUGUUUUCCCUUUCCUUCGGGAAUAAAUAAAGUUCGAUGGUGACUCUGUUGUAUGUUCAAGCGUAUGAUACGUUCGGAUAUAUUUUCGCUAUCUUUAGUAGGAAAAUAUGUUGUAUUUCCUAUUUCUUUUGGGGCUAACUCUUGUCGUAUACCCAUCACCACCAUAUCUGGACAAAUUUUAUUACUAUAUUUUGUAUUUCCUUUAAUGUUUAAAAGUGUUCCAAUCAAACUAUCACACACAUUUUUUUCCACAUGCAUCACAUCAAGAUAAUGUCUUAUAUCGAUGUUAGACCAUUAUGGAAGAUCAAAGAACACCAAACUCUUUUUCCAAAUACUUUUAUCCACAUGUUCUUUUUGGUUCUUUCUAAAUACAACAUUAUUAUGUUGUUGUAUUUUAUAAAAUUCCUCCCUGGUUAAGGGCUUUGGAGCGAUAACAAACUCUUGCUUUCCAUUAAAAGCCUUCCAUAAUCUAUGAUAUGGAUGAUUGGAUCUUAGAAAUUUUAUAUGCCCAAAGGUAAACAAUAUUUCUUCCAUUUUGUAGUUGGUGGGAGAAUUUAUCAUCUUAACAUAUAAGACACAUUUUAUGUCCCUUAACGUUGUAUUUAGAAAAAUUAAUGUAUGCAAGAAAGUCAUUGAUUGUGCAAAACAACAUGACACAUAUCUUAAAAUUAUCACUCGUAUACGCAUCAUUAACAUUAACGUCUUCCUCCCACAAAACUCUUAAAUCUUCAAUCAAUGGAGUUAAAUAAACAUAUAUGUCGUUUCUUGAUUAUUUUAGACCCGAAAUCAUAAUUGAUAAUAUCAUAUAUUUAUGCUUCAUUCACAACUACAAAGAUACGUUGUAAAUUAUGAGAAGAAUGAACAAUGAAGUAUGGUUAGUACUCAUAUUACAAAACAAGUUCAUUUUGUCGGUGGCAAGUCCAAGCCUAAUGUUCCUUGGCUCAAGGGCAAAGUCCAAAAACAACGCCUCGAUUUUCUUCCAUUGCAAUGAAUCACCUACAUGGAGAAUUUUUCCAUCAAAUAUUAUUUCACCUGCAUGUCAUCUAGUAUUAUUUGUGUCACUUACAUUAGCAAACAAUCUCUUGAACCUUUGAAUUAUUGAUAGGUGUAACACCCUAAACCCUAAACGCUUAUUUUAUAAAAACAUGCAGAUAAUUUACUCAACAACACAGUGUCACGUUUUCUCGGCAUAAAACAACUUUAUAAAUCAUCAUAUUAUAGAAGCAGAAAUAAAUUAAUAAUAACUCAACUUUAAUUAUCUCAUUAAUCAAAAUUAACUUCAUUUUAACAUAUAAAGGAAAUAGUUCAACAACUCUCAAAAACACAAAAUAGAAAGGUAACACAUUCCAAUGUUACACUAUUAGAGUGACACACAAAUACUCAAAGAACUAAAAAUCAAUAAGUGACAAAGAAGGCUACUACACCAUCCUCUAAAACAUAAAAACAACCAAGGCUCUUCUACCUGAGUAUCUGCACCACAUGCAUAAAGAAUAACACAAACAAACUAGAUAGGGGUGAGAAAUACAUUCAUAUAUGUAGUGGUGCAUAAAACAUAAAGGAUAGUUCAAAUAAUAUCACUCAUUAAUCACAUAAAUCAUCCAUAAUAAUAAUCAAUCACAAUACAGUUAUGUAUGCAAUGUAUUUUAAAUCCUCUACUCUAAUGCACGUGGUACCAAGGUUUUUGGAUAUCAUAAGUAUGUUACUGAUUAAUCCACUCGGCACUAGUUUCAUCUUUGAACCUGAUUCCAUCUCUGAACCAUCAUACUCGUUACAGGUACCAUCUGUGAACCUGAGACUCGUCACUAGACCAAAGUUUGUCAUCAUCAUACUCGUCACAUGUUCCAUCUUUGAACCUGAGACGCGUCACUAGACCGAAGUCCAUCACCUAUCUAUGAUAUACAUGAUGCAUGAAUGCAACAAAAAAAAAUGCAAUACUCGUCUCAAACCUUCAACUUCCAUACUCAUUAUCGGUUCCUCUUUGAACCUGAACUCAACAUGAACAUCGUUUAUAUAAGGUCACACAUUGGUUCCUCUCUAAACCAAACAUCCCAUCACAACUCAACAAGUUUUAUCAUAAUUCAGCAUAAUAAUUAAACUAUAUAAUUUCUUGAGAAUGCUCACCAACAACAUCAAAACAACAUCAGACAACCAUUAACAUUCGACAAGGCAUACUCAUAACACAACAGAGCUCACAAUUAACUCUAACAACUUUUACUCAUAGGUUAAGAGUCACGAGACAUAUUCUAACCUUAACUCAAUUACUCCUCAAAUCAACUCUAAACAUAUCUGAUGACUCAAACUUAACUCAUUUAAUUUAACACAACUCUAAACAUAUAAAAUAACUUAAAACUCAACUCAUUUAAUUUACAUAUCAUCUUAUCAAAACAACCCAAAAAUCAUCUUUCCUGCUAGUCAUACAUCAAAUUCUAAUAAAUAUUUAAAAUAUCAAAUGAAGUCGGAAUCAAGCAAAUGGAUAUGUUUUACAAAGCUUAGAGUGUCUAUUUUAAUACUAUGAUUUUAUUUAAAGACUAAAGAUCUCAAUUGGUACAGUUUAAUCAAACAAUAGGAACUGCCGCAGGCACUAGAUAAAAUGUUUCUUCAGACUUGGAACUAGUAUUUCUCCUACUAAACAUAAUUAAAUGAUAUACUUAUUAAGUCUAAUGUAUAUUAAAUUUUAUCUAUUUUCUUAUGAUAUAAAUUUUACUCUUAAAGAACUUAUGAAAAUUGAGUUAUGCGUGAAAGAAGACAACCAACGCAUGACUAAAAUUUGACUACGCGCAUGGUAUUAAAAAAAUAGAAAACUGCUACUGUCGUAAAGCUCUCAAGCCCAAUUCUCCACUUCAAAAUAAAGUUUAUCGCGUUAUUUUUCUAAUGCAACUGAACGCACCUCAAACGGACUUACGAAACUCAAGUUACGCAUGAAAUAAGGUGGACAAUCCCCUUUUAUGUCUACCUGUGAUUUCUCCGAUUCUUCCCCAUUAAAACAUACCCAAAACUCCAUUAUUCGAGUUCCAACAGUCUUAAAACACAUAACAACUCAUAGUACUUGAAUCAUACGGUAGUUACCAAAUUAAAACACCAAAUUAACACUAUCACAUCAAUCCAUCAUAUUUUUUCAUUAACACACAAUAUAAGCAUAUGUACAAUAACAUCUUCAAUUUCACUAUGGAAUAUAAUCAUACGAAAUUCAUGUCAAAAACAAUAACUAAGCACGAUUAAUAUAACCAAAAUGGAAACACAUCAAUCUAAUUGUUGAGGUUUUGUAUAAACCUCACAUAAUUCAAGCCCUCAUCAAAUGAGGAAGAGGAAAAAGGGAAAAAGAAAAGAGGUGAAGGAUCCCUCAAUAUCCUACAUGCGCUUUAACACCCAUAGUAUAAGGCUUAUGCUCUUGCAACAUAUCAGGCUUAUGCUCUUGCACUCAACAACAUGAGGACCUAUAUCUCCACACUUGAAACAUCUUAGAGAAACAGAAACUCUUCCCCCCACUCAGCUCACUUCCACCUGCAUCCUUCUACUAGAACUUCUUAUUCCCUUUAGCAACUGGAGUCACAUAUGGCUUACCACAAUCCUGACUCCCAUUCUUCUUCUCACUCACACUCUUGUAGUGAACAAACUUGACUCUAUUAUCCUCAUCAUAAACUCUGCAUUUGUUCACCAACAUUGAGAAACGAAGGAUCUCCCGAUAGCCUAUGAACUACUUGAUCUUAGGACGUAAUCCACUCUCAAACUUCAAACACUUAGAAUCCUCAACUUCCACACCAUUAUAAUUAAGACAAAAUCUUGAUAGCUCCUCAAACUUAGCUGCAUAGUCAGCCAUAAUCAUAUUCCUUUGCUUCAGUUCAAAGAACUUUAUCUCUUUGCGGAUAUGAACAUCAGUUGUAAAAUACUUGUCCAAAAACUCAUUCUUGAAAUUAGCCCAAGUAUUUUGUGCAUUAGCAGCUUCCAUCCUCUAACAUGUACUCUCCCACCAAUAGUCAACUUCCUCAGACAACAUAUGCAUUAUGACUAACACCUUUUGCGCAUGAGUGCAUGCCAUAACUCUAAAAAUCUUCUCAAUCUCCUAAGGCCAAGCCUGAGCACCUUCAAGAUCAUACCUCCCCUUAAAUGUAAGUGGAUUGUUAUUUUGGAAAUUUCCGAACCCACAAAAUUCAUCAUCUCUACCAUUCUGAUUCUGAUUAGCAUGCAAAACUUCAUUUUCUUGUGCCAUCACAUGAAUCAUCGUCUAAAGAGCAUCAACAAUCACAUGAUCUUUCGUGCCAGCCACGUCUUUCUGUACAACCAGUCAAAACAAGUUAAUCAAUUGUAAAUAGUAAAGCAAUUAGCUACUACAGGAAAGCAACAUCAACGAUGUUAACACAAAUGUUAUGCACAAGGGUCUAUACAAAUUCACAAAACCUAGGCCGAAUGAGUCGACUUGCUCUGAUACCAACUAUGUAACACCCUAAACAACAAACACUUAUUUUAUAAAAAACAUGCGGAUAGUUUACUUAACAACAAGGUGUCACAUUUUCUCAACAUAAAACAAUUUUCUCAAUCAUCAUAUUAUAGUAGCGGAAAUAAAUUAAUAAUAACUCAACUUUAAUUGUCUCAAUAAUCAAAAUAAACUUCAUUUUAACAUACAAAGGAAAUAGUUUAACAACUCUCAGAAACACAAAACAAAAAGGUAACCAAUCUCAAUGUUAAACUAUCAGAGCGACACACAGAAACUAAAAGAAUUAAAAAGCAAUAAGUGACAAAGAAGGCUAAUAUGCCAUCCUCUAAAACACAAUAGCAUCCAAGGCUCCUUUACUUGAGUAUUUGCACCACAGGCGUUAAGAACAACACAACCAAAACAAACAGGGUGAGAAAUACAUUCAUAUAUGUAAUGAUGCAUAAAAUAACAAGGAUGGUUCAAAUAAUAUCACUCAUCAAUUACACAAAUCAUCCACAAUAAUAGUCAAUCACUAUACGGUUAUACAUGCAAUGUAUCUCAACUCCUUUACUCCAAUGCACAUGGUACCAAUUUUUUCAAUAAAAGAGGUAUGUUACUGAUUAAUCCACUCGUCAUUGGUUUCAUCUCUGAAUCUGGUUCCAUCUCUGAACCAUUAGACUCAUCACAUGUUCCAUCUUUAAACCCCAAGACUCGUCACUGGACCGAAGUCUGUCACCAUCAGACUCGUCAUGGAUUCCAUCUCUGAACCUGCAACUCGUCAUUGAACCGAAGUCCAUCACCAUCAGACUCAUCGCAGGUUCCAUCUCUGAAUCUGAGACUCGUCACUAGACUGAAGUCUGUCACCUAUCUUUGAUAUACAUGAUGCACGAAUGCAACAAACAAAUGCAAUACUCGUCUCAAACCUCCAUCUUCCAUACUCAUUAUUGGUUCCUCUCUGAACCUGAACUCAACAUGAACAUCGCUAAUAUAAGGCCACACAUUUGUUCCUCUAUGAACUAAACAUCUCACCACAACUCAACAAUUUCAUCAUAACUCAGCAUAAUAAUUAAAUUAUAUAAUUUCUCGACAAUGCUCAUAACAAAAUCAAAACAACAUCAGACAACCAUCAACAUUCAUCAAAUCAUACUCAUAACACAACAUAGCUCACAAUUAACUCUAACAACUUUUACUCAUAAGUUAAGAGUCAUCGGGCAUAUUUAACUCUAUUAUUCAUCAACUCAACUCUAAACAUAUCAAAUGACUCAAACUCAACUAAUUUAAUUCAACACAACUCUAAACAUAUAAAACCCAACUUUAAAUAUAUCAAAUAACUCAAAACUCAACUCAUUUAAUUCGCAUAACAUCUUAUUAAAACAAUCCAAAAAUCAUGUUUCUUGGUAGUAAUACAUCAUAUUUGAAUAAUUAAUUAAAAUAUCAAACAGAGUCAAAAUCAAGAAAAUGAAUAUGUUUAUGAAAGCUUAUAGUGUCUAUUUUAAUACUAUGAUUUUUAUUUUAAGACUUAAGAUCUCAAUUGGUACAGUUUAAUCAAACAAUAGGAACAUGUGCAGACACAGGACAAAAUGUUUCGUCAGACUUGAAACUAGUAUUUCUUCUAAUGUACAUAAUGAAAUGAGAUAUUUAUAUGUAUGAAAUUUUUCCCAUUUUCUUAUGAUAUUAAUUUUACUCUUAAAGCACUUACAUAAAUUAAGUUAUGCGUGAAAGAAGACAACCAACGCAGGACUAAAAUUUGAUUACGUAUCUGGUAUUAAAAAAUAGAUAACUGCUACUGUUGUAACGCUCCCAAGGCCAAUUUUCCCACUUCAAAAUAAAGUUUAUCGCGUUAUUUUUCUAAUGCAACUGAACGCACCUCAAACAGACUUACAAAACUCAAGUUAUGCAUGAAACAACACGGUCAAUCCCCUUCUCUAUCUACCUGCGAUUUUUCUCUGAUUUCUAUAUUUCUUCCUCAUUGAAAGAGACCCAAAAAUCCAUUAUUUGAGUUCCAACAGUCCCAAAACACAUAACAACUCAUAGUACUUGAAUCAUACGGUAAUUAACACAUUAAACUACCAAAUUAAUAUUAUCACAUCAAUCCAUCAUGCUUUUUCAUCAACAUACAAUAUAUGCAUAUGAACAAUAACAUCUUCAAUUUCAUCAUGACAUAUAAUCAUACGAAACUCAUGUCAACAACAACAACAACUAAGAAUGAUUAAUACAACCAAAAUAGAAACACAUCUCUAAUUAUUGAGGUUUUACAUAAAUCUCACACAAUUCAAGCCCUUAUCAAUUGAGGAAGAGGAAAAAGGGAAACAAAAAUGAUGAGAAGGAUUCCUCUCUAUCCUACAUGCUUUUAACACCUAUAGCAUGAACAUUUACCCCCUACUUCAAAUUUGCAGCAAAGGUUGAAUCUUUUGAUAAUGGAAGCUCUUUUCUUCUCAUAGGACUCUCUCUGACUCUGCUGACAACUACUUCUCAUAACACAAACCCUAACUCUAGUUCUCUUAUCUAUUUAAAUAAAACCCUACUGAUUUUAUUAAUUCACUAACUCCCCUUAAUUCUCACUAAUUCCACCAUUUUCCUCAAUUUCAAUUAAAAUUCCACUUUCCUCCCCAAAACUCAAUUUCUCAUUAUUUUUAUUAUUUAAAUAAUUAAAAGUUAGUGAUAAUUCUAAUAAAUUCUACCAAACCUCAAUAAUACCAGUAAAAUAAAUAUAGAACUAAAAUAAAAUCAUAUAGAUCUUUUUAAACUCAAUUAAAAUAAAAUAAACGAAAAACCAGGAUGUUACUCCCCCCCCCCCAUUUUACAAAAUUUCCGCCCUCGAAGAUUUCCUGAUAAAAACAACUAUGGAUAAGACUCCUUCAUAUGAUUCUCUAACUCCCACGUCAUGCCACCCCUAUCGAUGACCGUAAAGAAAGAAAUACCAAUUGUGAGACAUGUACCUUGAUUCAAUUAUCAUGUCUAGAGGUUUCCUCACCACUCAGAGCAAAGACCUUCCCACUAGCUCGCACGACCUCUAGCUCUUUCCUCGGCUUCUGACAAUGAGUACAUAUAUGACAUGGUUCUCCACAGUUGAAACAAGUCAAAACUGCACUCUUGCAAUCAGUGACAUGAUAUCCCUACUUCCCACACUUGAAACAUAUCAGGCAUGUCCUAUGGCACUCAGUAACAUGAUGACCUAACUAUCCACACUUGAAACAUCUUAGAGAAGCAGAAACUCCUCCCUCACUCGGUUCACUUCCACCUGCAAUCUUUUGCUAGAAUUUAUGAUUCCCUUUAUCAACUAGAGUCACAUAUGGCUUACCAUGAUUUUGACUCUCAUUAUUCUUCUCAAUCAUACUCUUGUAGUAAACAUGCCUGACUUUAUUAUCCUCAUCAUAAAUUCUGCAUUUGUUCACUACCACUGAGAAACGAAGGAUCUCCUGAUAGCCUAUGAACUACUUGAUCUCAGGACGUAAGCCACUCUCAAACUUCACACACUUAGAACCCCCAGGUUCCACACCAUUAUAGUUAAGACAAAAUCUUGACAGCUUCUUAAAAUUAGCAGCAUAGUCCGCCACAUUCAUAUUCCUUUGCUUCAGUUCAAAGAACUAUAUGUCUUUGUGGCUACGAACACCAAAUAUAAAAUACUUGUCUAGAAACUCAUUCUUGAAAUUAGCCCAAGUAAUUUCCUCAUUAGCAACUUCCACCCUUUGAUAGUUACUCUACCACCAAUACUCAACUUCCUCAUACAGUGUAUACUUUCCUAACAACACCUUAUGCACAUUAGUGCAUGCCAUAACUCUGAGAAUUUUCUCAAUCUCCUAAAGCCAAGCCAUAGAACCUUUAGAAUCAUAAACCCCCUUGCAUGUAUGUGGACUAUUCUUCUGGAUAUUUCCAAGCCCACGAAACUCAUCAGCUUCACCAUUUUGAUUCUGAUUAGCAUGCAACACUUCAUUCACUAGAGCUAUCACAUGAGUCAUCCCCUCAAGAGAAUUAACAAUCACACAAUCGAUCCCGCCAGCCACUUCUUUAUGUACAACUAGUCAAAACAAGUUAAUCAAUUAUAAACAAUAAAGCAAUUAGCUACUACAAGAAAGCAACACCAACAGUGUCAACGCGCAUAUUAUGAACAUCAGUAUACACAAAUUCAUAAAACCCAGGCCGAAUGAACCGAUAUGCUGUGAUACUAACUAUGUAACACCCUAAGCCCUAAAUACUUAUUUUAUAAAAAACACGCAGAUAGUUUACUCAACAACAGGGUAUCACAUUUUCUCAACAUGAAACAACUUUCUCAAUUAUCAUAUUAUAGCAAUAGAAAUAAAUUAAUAAUAACUCAACCUUAAUUGUCUCAAUAAUCAAAAUAAACCUCAUUUUAACAUAUAAAGGAAAUAAUUUAACAAAUCUCAGAAACACAAAACAAAAAGGUAACCAAUCUCAAUGUUAAACUAUCAGAGUGACAUACAGAAACUAAAGGAAUUAAAAAUCAAUAAGUGACAAAGAAGUCUAAUAUGCCAUCCUCUAAAAUACAACAACAUCCAAGGCUCCUUUACUUUAGUAUCUGCACCACAGACGUUAAGAACAACACAAACAAAACAAACAGGGUAAGAAAUACAUUCAUAUAUGUAAUGAUACAUAAAACAACAAGGAUGGUUCAAAUAAUAUCACUCAUCAAUUACACAAAUCACCCACAACAAUACUUAAUCACAAUAAGGUUAUGUAUGUAAUGUAUCUUAACUCCUCUACUCCAAUGCAUGUAGUACCAAUGUUUUCAUAUAUUAGAGGUAUGUUACUGACAAAUCCACUCGUCACAGGUUCCAUAUCUGAACUUGAGACUCGUCACUAGACUAAAGUCUGUCAUCUAUCUUCGAUAUCCAUGAUGCAUGAAUGCAACAAAUAAACGCAAUACUCGUCUCAAACCUCCAACUUCCAUACUCAUUAUCGGUUCCUCUAUGAACCUAAACUCAACAUGAAGAUCGCCAAUAUAAGGCCAUACAUUUGUUCCUCUCUGAACCAAACAUCCCAUCAUAACUCAACAAUUUCAUCAUAACUCAGCAUAAUAAUUAAAUUAUAUAAUUUCUCGACAAUUCUCAUCAACGAUAUCCAAACAAUAUCAUAUAACCAUCAACAAUAAGUAAGGCAUACUCAUAACACAACAGAGCUCACAAUUAACUCUAACAACUUUUUCUCAUAGGUUAAGAGUCAUCAGACAUAUUCUAACCUUAACUCAAUUACUCGUCAACUCAACUCUGAACAUAUCAUAUGACUCAAUCUUAACUCAUUUAAUUCAACAAAACUCUAAACCUAUCAAACUCGGCUCUAAACAUAUCAAAUAACUCAAAACUCAACUCAUUUAAUUCACAUAGCAUCUUAUCAAAACAACCCAAAAAUUCCUACUAGUUAUACAUCAUCUUUGAAUAAUUAUUUAAAAUAUCAAAUGGAGUAAGAAUCAAGUAAAUGAAUAUGUUUAUAAAAUCUUAGAGUGUCUAUUUUAAGACUAUGAUUUUUAUUUUAAGACUUAAGAUCUCAAUUAUUACAGUUUAAUAAAAUAAUAGGAACGGGUGCAGACACUGGACAUAAUGUUUUGCCAUACUUGUAACUAGUAUUUCUCUUACUAAAAUUAAUGAAAUGAGACACUUAUUAAUUCUAAAAUGUAGAUUUUUUCCUGUUUUUUAUGAUAUAAAUAUUACUCUUAAAUGAUUUACGAAAGUCAAGUUAUGCGUGAGACAAGACAACCAACACAUGACUGAAAUUUGACUAUGCUUCUGGUAUAAAAAAAAACAGAUAAUGACUACAAAACUGCUAUUGUUGUAGUGCUUCCAAAUCCAAUUUCCCCACUUUAAAAUAAAUUCUACCUUGUUAUCUUUUUAAAGCAACUGACCUCACCUCAAACAGAUUUAUGAAACUCAAGUUACACAUGAAACAAGGUGUUCAACCCCCUUCUAUGUCGAUCUGUGAUUUUCUGCGAUUUCUCUGAUUCUUUCCUAUUGAAACAGACCCAAAACUCCAUUAUUUGAGUUCCAAAAGUCUUAAAACACAUAACAACUCAUAAUACGAAUCAUAUGGUAAUUAACACAUCAAAACAUUUAACUAACACAAUCACGUCAAUCCAUCAUGCAUUUUCAUCAACAUACAACAAAAGCAUAUGAACAACAACAUCUUCAAAUUCAUCAUGAGAUAUAAUCAUACGAAAUUCAUGUCAACAACAACAACUAAACACGAUUAAUACAACCAAAAUAGAAACACAUCAAUCUAAUUGUAGAGAUUUCGCAUAAACCUCACACAAUUCAAUCCUCCGUCAAUGGAGAAAAACGAAAAAGGGAAAAAGAAAAGAUAAGAAGGAUUCCUCUCUAUCCUACAUGCUUUAACACCUAUAGUAUGAACAAUUACCCCUAUCUUGAAUUUGCAGCAAAUGUUAAAGCUUUUGACAAUGGAAGCUCUUUUCUCAUACCUCUUGCUCUCAUAGGGCUUUCUCUGACUCUGCUGACAACUAUUUCUCACAAUAACAACCCAAACUCUAAUUCUUUUAUCUAUUUAAUUAAAAAACUACUAAUUGUUAAUUAACUAACUCCCUUUAAUUCUUACUAAUUCUACCAUUUCCUCAAUUUUAAUUAAAAUUCUACUUUCCUCCUUAAAGCUAAAUUUCUCAUUAUUUCGAUUAUUUAAAUAUUUAAAAAUUAGUGAUAAUUCUAAUAAAACUCUAUCAACCUCAAUAAUACCAAUAAAAUAAACAUAUCACUCAAAUAAAAUAAUAUAAAUAAUUUAAAACUCAAUUAAAAUAAAAUAAAAUAAAAAACUCGAAUAUUACAGUAGGUACUACAUCAUCUUGACAGAAACACCCUUUCUAGUUACACCAUCAUCAUCUCCAACACCACAUUCAUUUAGCUUGUAGCAUGACUCCCUACGUCUUGCACACUCCUUCCAGUUUUCAUACUUUUUCAUUACGACAUGUAUGUAUUGUUACAUAGUCCAAACUUAUUGGAAAAAAUAUCUUAUUAGCCUCAUAACUACAAUUCAACAUUGUGUUACCUUAUAGAAGCAUUUCUAGCAAUAAUUCAAGCAAUUAAGUGGAACUUUUAUCCAAUCAUCCACUUUUUGCUUUAAGAAUAAAUAGUCUUAACACAACUGACAAUAUCUUAAAAUUUAUGCAUCCUAGAAAUAACAACUCUUCCAUGUUAUUAUGUAAAAUAUCAUACACAUAGACUUUAUUAAAAGAAUAUACUUCAAUAUCAUUGCUCAUAUCUUCUAGAUUAUCAUCCAUAUCUUUAUCAACUUCAUUUCUAUGUGACAUAAGUCUUUUUUUAUCACUUCACCAUGCCACGCCUAUUUCAUAUAAUUUUGAAUAAUUUCAUCAUAACCUAAAUGAUCGAAUAUUUCUUUCUUUGAAUGUUUUUGAGUAUUUCGGUAUUUUUUACAAGGACAAUAAAAAAUCCCACUAUCGUCAAGAAGAUUUAUUUUUGCGAAUUCAAUAAUUUGAACCAUUUCAUUCUCAUAUGUUUUACUUAAUCUAUUGACUUUCAUCCAACUACGAUCCAUAAUCACAUACCUUUUAAAAAUAAAAUAAAAACCAUACAUAACCAACAACAAUGAAUAUUCCAUCUUAACAAAACAAACUAAACUUUCAAUCUCAACACAACUACAAAUACUACAAAAACAACAACAAUAACAACAACAAAACAAUAUUACUGGUACAAUCAUGGAGAAAGUUUUGCAUACCUGAAACAUAAUGAGAGAGUCAAAGAAAUAUGAUGGUUUGAGGUCCGAUAUUCCUUAUUCGAGCUCCUUUCCUCAUUUGUUUAAUUUGAUUGACUUAGCGAAGAUGAAGAAUGGUGUUUCAUUCGUUAGGUGGAAAAGUUGAAGAAUGAUGUUUUGUUCGUUUGCUAGGUCACAAUAAGUUUAUGAGAAAUGAAAAAGUGCAGGAGCUGGGAAUCAAAGAGAAAAGACAAUUUGUAUUGUAAUUAAAAAAUUAAAUUAAAUAAGGGCGCCGUUUUGGCUAUAAAUAAAACGCUCAAAUGUAGGAGCUGGGAAUCUAAGCUCAAAAUCUUGAGCGACAUUUUCUGUCGGUUGAACCAAAAUUCAAGGAAAUAAAGUUCUGUACUGUAAUCAAAGAAUUAAACAAAAUAAGGGCACAAUUUUGGUUCUAAAUAAAACACAAAAUUGCAAGAGCUAGGAAUAGAAGCUCAAACCAUGAGCGACAUUUCUUGUUAGUUUAACCAAAAAACCGAGGAAAUAAAUUUAAUUUUUAUAAAAAAAAUAAUCGAAAGGUCGCGCUCUAAGGCAUUUGAACUCAGUUUUUAUUUGGCUAAGGUGAUUUUUUUAUCAUGAAAUGUAUUAUCUAUAGUAGUGAAUGAAGUUAAGACCCCUAUUUAUAGCUUCAAAAUCAGGUCCCUCGCUAGGUGCACCACCCAUCCUUUCCUAACAAGCUUGUUAUCUUCUAGGUUAAACAAUGUUAGUUGUCUGACAGUUGGUGAUAGCCGCCUUAGUUUGCUAGGCGCACUGUCCAUUCGCUUAGUCAAUAACCCCUUUAUUCACCAUGAAGUACUUUAGCCUUGAAGUUCCAUAUGGCUUCCCGAGCUUGCUAGGUGAGCCUAUGAUCAUGGCUUAGCGAUCCUUGCUUUGCAGAGAAUUUCUCUCGCUUGGUCUUUGUGUCCUAAAUAAUAUUUUUCCAGACAUUUUUACCCGUUUUUAGUUAAUACAUGCUAGGAAAGUCCAAACAUGUGUUUUUAUCACUUUUUAUAGACAAAUUGAGGGGAAGGGGUUUGUAUUGAUUGCUUGUAAAAUAAGUUUAUAAAUGCCUACAUAUUUUACGUAAAUAUGGAACUUAUCAGUCGCCUGUGCUUGUUAAACGCGUGUAUGAUCUUGGCUUAGCGAGCUUUGCUUGUAGGAAAGUGUAUUGUCAAGGUCUUUGUGUGUUGCUUGGUUGUUUUCCAAUCCCUUUUAACUAUUUUUAGUUAAUGUGCAGUUAAAAAGCCUAAACAUGUGUUUUUAUCACUUUUCAUUGAUAAAUCAGGAUUUUUUUUCUAUUAAUUACGUGUAAAAUAAGUUAAUAAGCACCUACAUAUUUUACAUAAUUUUGUCACUUAUCACAACACUUUCUUGGGCUCGAAGGAGAUGUUGAACUCGAAUAUUUAGAUAGACUAUUUCGUCAAUUGUUCAACUAGGUUCGACUAGUGAAAACUUGUAUUAAAGGAAGAUCAAUGAGAAUAACAAUGGCAUGGGCUAAGAAGUAACAUCAAAACUUGCUUGAUGCAGUCACUAAUGCCAAUAAUGCUUUCCCUAUCUUCUAGUAGCGUGCUCCAGGUCCAGUUAAUGCUUUAGAUAUAAAAUACACCGACCUUUAAGUGGAAUCUACCUUUUGGAUGAGGAGACGACCAGAUAAAAAAACAAAACUUCCCAUGUGAUCAGCACAAACAAAACCGCUGGGGUUAACAAGGCUACUUUUAGAGACAUGAAUGCUUGUUUACACUCUAUGGUCUACUCAAAGUAGGUUUCUUUCUUUAAUAACUUGUAAAACAGUAAUGCGUGUUGGGCUAACUUGGAUAUAAAUUUGUUCAGGGUGGUUAGUAUCCCAUUAAGUUUAUCACCUUUUUCUUCGUCGUUGGGUCUUUCAUCUUGAUGAAUACUUCACACUUAUCCAAAUUCAACUCUAUGCAUCUCUCUAUCAGGUAAAAGCCUAGGAAUUUUCUGACUUUGACUAUGAAGGUACAUUUAUUAGAAUUUGAGCUUGAUACCACAUUGUCAGAUCCUCCGGAACACAUUUUCUAGGCGUUACUUGUGCAACUCAUCACUGCCAAACUUAAUGAUUAUGUCAUCCGGAUAGACUCCUAAUUUUUCUCCUAUAUCUCCCAUGAAGAUUUUAUUCAUCAUUUUCUGGAAUGGUUCCCUCGCAUUCUUUAGACCAAAAGGCAUGAAGUUGUACCAAUAGUUGGCUCAUUUUGUCAUGAAGGCUCUAUUGUCUCUAUCUGCCUCAAACAUAGAUAUCUGGUUGUAGUUGGAGUAUGCAUCCAUGAAUGAUAUCAUCUUUUAAUAUGCUAAAUUGUCUACUAACUUCACCGUGUUUGAGAGUGGGUAGGAAUAUUAAAGAUAUGCUUGGUUGAGAUUAGUGUAAUCAACACACAUUUUUCAUUUUCCUAAAGCUUUCUUGACCAACACGACAUUCGACAACCAUUCAAUUUAUCUUACCUUAGAGAUAAAUUUAUCCUCCAACAGGCUCUAGACUGUCUUCUCGGUUGCUUCAGUUUUCUUGGGAGAUUAUCUCCUCAUUCAUUGAGCCACAUAGCGUAUAGAAGGGUUAAUAUCCAACUAGUGACAAGACACAAUAGACUCUACGUUGAACAUCUGUAACGAGGUUGGCGUUAGCUUUGAGGCCCUUAGUGCUAUUUCUUCACCAUGGUCGGUAACUCAUCCCCUAUGCGGAUCAACUAUGUUAGAUUAUCGUCUAGCUGAAUGGUCUCAAAUCUAAUGUCUAAAGUUGUCAUUAAGGUUUUCUCCCUUUGAAUUCUGUCGUUGGGCCGAGUUUGUUGUCUAACGGCGUUUCAUCUUCUGGCAUGUGGAGAUCGACCAUACUAACGACUUAAUAGGUUUUCUAAUUUUAUCUCUCAGAGGCGAGGACGUUCAUGAGGGGGUUCUUCAAUACAACUUCACGUAUAAGGUGAGUGUCACAGAGGUCAGCUUAAGUAACAACUGACUUGCGUGCUUUAUUGUGAUAUUUCAUCUUAAAAUGGACCUGACAUGCUAAUGUGUCUAAUGCUUUGAGGAACAACCUCUCAAGGAUGUCGUUGUAGACAUUUUCAUAAGGGAUCAUGAGGAAAUACACAUUUCCAAUUAUUUUGUCUUUUCUUUCCCCGAAAGAGGCUGACAACUUAGUAGUUCCACAUGAAAGAGUGGAGGAAUCAUUAAAUGAUAGUAGACUCUUACUUUCAUACAACUUCAAAUCUCACUUACGUAGCCCUUACCUCAUGAAGAUUUUGAUGUACAUUAGAUUGCAAGAGCUUCCGUCAUCAAUGAUGAUUCAUGAUACUGAGUGAGUCAUUAUAGUGGCAGUUACUACCCGUGGAAUUGUCUUAUUAGGAGUUCCACCUACUUUAUCACUAUCUUGAAACUUUAAGAUAAGUUUGUCACAUUCCUACCUUUCGUUCGCCAUUAGCGAGUUGGGGAGUUUCAUGGUGGAAGCUAUUUAUCAAUGAAUGAUUUGUCGUCUACUGAAUCAAUGAAAAGGAAUGAAAAGAUAUUAAGGCUCAAAAAUCUGUUGUGUUUUCGGUAAUUGGACCGGUCAUCAUCAUCUUCUUCUUCAAGUAAGCUCGCUGUAGCAAAUCGUGAUUUUUGAAACAGAGAGACUUGAUUGUAGAAUUCAUAGGAAUCAAAAGUUGUUUCUUACUAACAACGUCAAUGUUUUGUUAUGUAACUAAAAUGUGUAGUAAAGUCUUAGUGCGAUGGAUCAAGCUUAUGGUACGACGGAUAGGGAUGAACCGACAAAGUUAACACUCCAACAUCCAAAUCAAUUAUUGAGUAAAAAGUUACGUGAGAGUAAGUUAGGAUUUGAACAUACCCCAACUCUUGCAUGAUUUCCCUUAUAAAUGAAGAGGAGUUAACGAUCCCCUCGCUUUUCGACGUGGUAUGCGAGGAAUCGUCUGUGGUAUGGAUUGAGUACGAGUCUCAAGGUAAUGAUACACCGUAUCUCCGUAUAUUAUAAUUUUGGAUUGAUGAUUGAACUUUUUUGUUAUUGAGUCUAUGAUGAUCGAUUCGGAACAUAAUUUAUUAUAAGCCACUUUGAUAUCGACAAAAAUCAUUUAAAACCUAUAAUAUAAUUUAAUACACAAAGCACAUGUUAAUGUUACCGUUGUCAACUAUAAUGCUAAUUUAUUUUAUAUACAUAAAAUAAUUGAAACACUUCAUCAAAAACCAAUCCACACUCUACAGCAUUUGAGUUGUGAUUUGAACAUAAGGCUGAAGACUUUAACAAUUUGUAUUUUUCUACACAUGGCAUUCUUUUUUGUGUGGAAAAGAUAUAUCAUUUUUAAUACUAGUAUGACCAAUUUGAAAAUAUUUAUAUUAUUAAUCAUUGGUUGUUUUAUGUUUUAAUAAACUUUCUUAUCAUUUCGUUUAUAACUCAUAAUCGUAUGUAACAAACAUACACAAAUGGUGAGAAGAGUAUUUUAAGAUGAAGAAUAACUUUUAAAAAAGGAAGAAUCACUUUAUAUUCUUUGCUCCACAUUAAAAAUAUCCUCUCUUUUUUAUCUUGAUGGAAGAAAUGAACUUUUGCUUUUUCAUAUUCGAAUAAUCUUCCACUCCCAAACAGGUAACAGUUCUAAAUACUAAAAAGCAGAUAGCAGACACUAUAAUCAGAAAAAAUGUUAAGUAUAAAACUGUCCUUAAUGAGUUGCAGUGUUAGUGUGUUAACGUAAUACUUACACAAUCUUAACAAAAAAAUGAUUUUGUAUUAACAUCAGAAAUUAGUUUAGUUAAUUAACCAUAGAAUAAGGGCUUGUUUGAUAUGGUUUUGGAAAAUUGUUUUUUAGUUUUUAAAAAUUAAAAAUUAUAAAAUUUGUUUGGUAGUCUAAUUUUAUAAAACUAUUUCUCAAAACUAUUUUCUAUUUGUGAGGUUUUUAAAACUAAAAAAUCUAAAAUAGGUUUUAGAGGUUUUGAUUUUUGGUUUUUAGUUUUGGAAAUUAUGAAGAGGACAAAACAAGAAAAAAUGGUACUAUAUUCAUCAAUGGCAAAUUUGUAACGAUAUUCAACUUUAAAACAAUUUUUAAAAAUUAGAUUAUCAAACAUGUUUUUUUUCUCAAAACCUUUUUUUAAAACUUAAUUUCCAAAAUAAUUUUUAAAAACUAAAAACUAAAACUCAUUCAAACGGGUCCUAAGAAAUUUCCUAAACUGGUUUCCAAUUCCGUACUCUCUUAUUUAUGUGUGCUGUUGCUUUUUCAAUCUUAAAUUCCACAUGUGCAAUAUGUUUCAGACCAUGUUUGCUUCUUGUUACAAAUUCAUAACAAGAUUUUAUAGUACUUUCAGCAUUGGUUCUACUUUUUAAAUAGUCAAAUUUUAAAGGUAGAUAACUGAUUUUAUUAUUUUAGUUUUUUUUUAAAUAAAAUUAAUUUUGUUUUGAUAAUUUAUUCUACUUAAGAUUAUAAACAAUAACUUUUGUUUUUAAAUUGAUUUUUACACUUGAAUUUAUUUUGAGAAAAAAGAACAUAAAAAUAUACGAUAAUUUUAAAUGUCAAUCUAUUAAACACGUGUAAAUCAUCAAAUAAUACUUGAGUUUUAAAAUUAGGUUGAUGAUAUAGAAAAUUAAUAAAUUUUUAUUAGAUGAAAAAAUAAAAUUAUCUUGCAAUAUCAACGCACUAUCUUUAAUCUCAUUUAUUUUUUAUAUAAAUUUAUCUAAAAAUAAAUUAAAUUAUUUAUAACAAUAAUUUAUUUUAUAAAAUUAAUUUACUUAAAAUAAUAUUUUGUCAUAACAAAAUCAAACAUAUUCAAUAAUCAUCAUAAUUUUAAGAAUAUUAUUUGACACAAUAAUAUUCUAAUUUGUAUUUUUAAAUUUCGGAUAUAUUAAUAUUAUUUCAUCGACAAAAUCUUUGAUACAUUGGAUUUCUGAUACAUUGACAAAAUUAAUUUAUUUUUAAAUUAUUUUUAAUAAUAAUUAUUUUUACAAAAUUAAUUAAUUUAAAAUAAUAUUUUCGUCACAACAAACUCACACAUACUUAAUAAGCAACAAAACUUUUAGAAUAUUAUUGGUCAAAUUAUAUCUUAAUUUAUAUUUUUAAAUUUAUUUCUGAAAUAGUGUCAUAUACAUAUUCCAUUUUCUGAAAAAAUAAAAUUAAUGUGCAACAGCCAAAUGCUAAUAAUUUUUUUAAUAUUUAGUGAUCAAACUUUAAAUUAAACACUUAAAAGAUUUAAACGUCUAUUUAAAAAUGUGAUUUUAAAAGAUUUAAGUAUUUAUCGCGUGACACACAAUAUUAAUUCUUAAUAACAUAUCUAAAUUUAAGAUUACUUUGACUAAAUCAUAAUUGCAUAAUUUUGUUGAAGUUUGCCUUAGUAUUUUUGGUUAAAUUACAUAUACAUUAAAUUUCCUAAUUUAACCCUCAUUAUAAUUCUAAAAAAAAUACUAUUUUUGUGUCAAACAAUAUAGUUCUAAUAUAAUAAUAAAAUAGUAUAAUAAAUAAAAUAAAGGAAUCGGAAUCCCUCACAAUAAUGAUCCUCUUGCAUCAGUAAGUGUGCGUGCGUUGUUAAGCCAAGAACAAGAAAAAGAAUUUUUUCUUUUCAAAAAUUUUUAGCAACAAAAAAAAAAAACUUCAUCACCGAUUGGGUUAUAUCAAUAUUCUUCUUCGUAUUUGCCUCUUAUAACUCUUUUUUUUCGCACCGUCGUGUUCAUCGUUCAGAGCCAAACAAGGUUUCGUACUUUUUUUUCGUCUCACUUUCGCUACUGUUUCUGAUUUUGAUUUUUGAAUCUGAAACUCUUUUCAUUGCAGGUUUCUACUUUGUGGCUACACAUGUUCGUUUUACGUUGAUUCAAUUUCGCUGAAAUUUGAUUCAACAGCUAUGCAAAAGGAUACUACUAGUAGUAGUUCUCCGUCAACUAACACUGGACGAAUUAGACACCGGAAACGCUCUAAUGAGGUUAAUUAGUUUUUUAAACUUUCAUUUCUCACUGUUAAUUGCUGUUUAUUUUAUGUAUUAUUUAAAGUAUUUUGUAUUAGUAGGUUUUUUUUUUUCAUAUUGAAAUUGAUUCAAUUUGUAGUAUUGAUUAUCCUAAAAUUUGAAGAAUGUAAAAUUUGUCUAAUGUAUCUAAGUAUGGAAAGCAUAUGAUUGGAGGCUAGGUCUAUUUUAUUUUAUUUUAUUUUUAACUUAAUAAUAAUAAAUCUAGGUUUAUUUUUUUUAUCAUUUGUAUUAUGUUACUUGAUGGUUUUACCCUCUAUAGGUGGUUAAUUUGGUAGAAUAACAGUGCCAUUGUGGUUUUGGAAAAAGUUGUAUUUUGGAGUUUCGACAAAAUUACAGUGGUCCGGUGAUUUUGUGAAACUCGUUGUAGGGUUGUUUAAUAGCGGCGUUAUAGCAUAGCGUAUUGCUGAACAAUAGCGACACGUGGUUUUGUCAAAGUCAUUGCAGAGUUGUUAAAUAGUGGCGCUAUAGGAAAUUGCUAUUGUUCUGUGAUACGCUAUUUACGAUGAAAUGUUGUCAAAUAGUGGCUAUAGCGGCGCUAUUGCACUAAUGUAUUGCGGAAUUUGAAUAAAUCACAAUUUUUCCGCGAUGCACGAUUGACAACACUGACUCACUGUGAUUUCAAAUAUGUAAUUAAUAAGUAGAAUGAUUUAGGAUCUGAAACUCAGCAGUAUCUGUUUGGGAAAAUUUUCGUAUACUUUUUGAAGGUGGUUUAUUGUAUGAUGUCUUUAUAUCAGGUUAUUCCAGAAGUUAGUAAAUCAAAUGGUGCUCAGUUACUUGUUAAUGACAAAAGCAAAUACAAGUCUAUGUUGAUUCGUGCAUAUUCAUCCGUUUGGAUGAUUGGGAGCUUUGUGUUGAUCAUCUAUAUGGGUCACCUCUACAUUACUGCAAUGAUUGUGGUCAUUCAAAUCUUCAUGGCAAGAGAACUUUUCAAUCUACUCCGCCGAGCUCAUGAAGAUAAGCAGCUUCCAGGAUUUAGGCUAUUAAAUUGGUAUAUAUUGUAAACUCAUUAAUCUCACUGCAAGGAAAUUUAUUAUUUCAUGUCGGCAUUGUCAAAUUUCCGCCAUGGCGGUGUUGUGGCGUUAUAGCAUGGCAGGUUUUGUGCCCGCCUCCGCAACACCUAUUAUAUCUGCCAUAGGCUGCAGCACCGUAUUUAUACUGUGGAUUUUGACUCUGCGCCAUAAUCCGCAUCUGAUUUAAAAGAAAAACAUGUAAUAACUUGUUCCAGUUUUAAUUGGCAUAUCCCAUUUCAGGCAUUUUUUCUUCACCGCAAUGCUAUUUGUUUAUGGACGUAUUCUGAGUCAGCGCCUGGUUAACACAGUAAAUUCCGACAAGGUUUUAUAUCGGCUUGUGAGCAGUCUUAUAAAGUAUCAUAUGGUUGUCUGCUAUUCCCUGUACAUUACAGGUAACCUAUACAUAUCACUUUUGUUGUUUUAAUGAAAGGUUUUAUAUCGGCUUGUGAGCAGUCUUAUAAAGUAUCAUAUGGUUGUCUGCUAUUCCCUGUACAUUACAGGUAACCUAUACAUAUCACUUUUGUUGUUUUAAUGUUCAUGGGCUGGGUUUUAUGCAAUGUCCAGAUGCCUAGCUAAUUUGUUUUCUAGUUUUUUUAGGAUUGCAAUUUUACUGAUGAUUUUGCACCAUUGCAAGUACUCUUAUACUUUGAUUAUCUUCCCUUUUAUUGAUUGGGCUCAGGAUUCAUAUGGUUCAUUCUCACAUUGAAAAAGAAGAUGUACAAGUACCAAUUUGGCCAGUAUGCUUGGACACACAUGAUUCUGAUUGUUGUAUUUGGGCAGUCCUCUUUCACCGUGCCAAGCAUUUUUGAAGGGAUUUUCUGGUAAUUUAUCCAGUAAAAGAAAAUAAUGAUUGUUCAAUAAUUAUGCCCAAAAAACUUUUGACUAUUUUUGAGGAUUCUUGUUUGCAUGAUAUCAUAUUUCGUGAUGCUGUUCGAAAUCCAUGCCAACAACUUUUUAUGUUAGAUGGUAUCUGAUAGGUAUUUGAUCCAUAAUAAUCAACUGAAAGGAUGGUGUAGUGAACUGCAUAUUUUGGGAGCAUGUAGGCUAAAUCACUUGGGACAUUUUCAAUUCUUGCCAAAACAGUGGAACUGAAGUCUUAGGAUAGGAAAAAAGAUGGAGAAAAGAUUAGGGAUUGAGCAAUGAGGGACAACUUACUGCCGCAUGGGAGGUGACCAAGUAAUUAUACUCUCCUAACAGAUGACUUUUCAGAGAUGGGGAUGAAAUUUUAAAAUGAAUCACUCUAUAUUAAGCAAAGGAAUCAAAUAGUCUUCGAAGACAUUUGAACUUGUAAUUACAUUCAUAAGCAUAAGCUAAGUUAUUGAUGUGAGCAAACAAACAAAUGAAAUGGGAGAUAUGAGGCCAUAUUUUUAUGUCUAGAGUUCUCAUUGUUAUGCCAGUAUCCUAGUAAAAAUUGAUUGAGGGGAAAAAGAUAGGCGUGAAUAGAGGUUAGAAUGAUGUAAAUAAGCAAUUCUCAGUUUAAAUGGAUAUACUUUCUAUUGAGAAUUGCUUAUUUACAUCAUUCUAACCUCUAUUCACCCCUAUCUUUCCACCCUCGUUUACAUUUUACCAUGGUUGAUUGUUGAAGGUAUCAUGUUAAUUCAUUUUCUCUAAAAAAUAUUUUCUUGCUUGUAAAAUGGCAUCAUUUGAUUACCAAUAUUUGAAGUGAUUUUGUGUAUAUAUGUACUAUUACAUGAGCAGCACAUUGCACUACUCCAUUGCUUUUUAAUUGAAUUGAUUUUGUGUAUGUAUGUACUAUUAGAUGAACAAAACAUGUCGCUGCUCCAUUGCUUUUGAAUUGAAUUGAUUUUUAUGUUUUGCUGACUUUUUGUACAGGUUUCUUCUUCCUGCAACGCUUAUUGUCAUUAAUGACAUUGCUGCUUAUUUCUUUGGUUUCUUCUUUGGAAAAACCCCUUUGAUUAAGUUGUCACCAAAGAAAACCUGGGAGGGUUUUAUCGGGGCAUCUGUUACAACCAUCAUAUCUGCAUUCAUGGUGAGUAACUUUUUAAUUACUUAAUGAAGAUAAAACACGUUUUUUUCUGGGGUGACGCUUUCAUUGAUCCAGAAUCACUUGUGAUGAUAUAUAUUCAUUAUUGUGAACGUUAUUGAAUGAUCAUAUUUAUGGCAAUUAAAUUCUUCCUUUUAGUCUUUAAAUAUCAAUGUAAUUAUUCUGAACUGGAUGCUAAUAUCAUUGUACAAAUCUCAUUUUGCAGCUUGCCAACAUCAUGGGUCGUUCUCCGUGGUUUACAUGUCCCAGGAAGGUAGCUCUCUUGACACACCACAUAUUGGGCCAGUUUGUUUUAACUUUAAAAAAAUGAAUUUUUUCUUUGUAUUUUUGAAAAUGGAUUCUACAAAAAUAUUUUUCAAAAUAUUAGAAGUUUUUCUAAAUUUGUUUUUUAUAAAUUAAAAGAUUGAAUUGUUCAUUCUAUAACAUAAAUAUACAUUAUUGAAGAUCAAAACAUAGUCAAAAUCACAAUUUUUUUAAAAAGUUGUAUCCUAAAAAUGAUUUUUAUGAAAAGCUAUUUGAAAUAGCUUCCAAAUUAAAUGAUUUUUUGAAAAUUUGAUAUCCAAAAAAAGUUUUGAUAAAAUGAUAAAAUACCUCAAAUAACAUUUUAAGAAUAACUAUUCAAACAAAAAAUUUAUUUGAAGCUUUUAUGAAAAGUUUCUUUGUAAUUUUUUUUUACACUAAAAUAUGUAACAUUAUAAAAAUCAUUUUUAAAAAAAAGUCAAAACAAACGGGCCCAUUAAAAGGUCUUUUAUUCAACAACCAACUGACUUGUGUUCAUAUCACCAACAUGGUGGGAAUAAAUGCAGGACCUAUCAACUGGUUGGCUUGACUGUGAUCCUGGUCUACUGUUUAAGCCAGAAUCUUACUCGUUGUUAGGAUGGACUCCUCACUGGGUAAUUACUUGACAUUCAGCUGAACUUUGAAUUUUAUAACCUACAACAAUAUCUUUGCAGUUUAUGGCAAUGUGGGGUCGUAGUACAAAAUUCACCAGAUAACUUAUCUACAUUUACAAAUAACACAAUUUGGAUGCCUCAAACAGCUAGAAGGACAUCUAAUUUGACUUGGGAGACUCAAAAAACUAGGAAAGCAUAUGGAAUUGGAAUGUACAUCUAAUCUGGAUAAAGAAGUGCAGGGAUUACUUAGAAAACAGCUGGGUCAUAGACCCAGACUGCUCAAUCAAUGACUCAAACUCAAUUGACCCUAUCACUGAGUUGGUCAAAGAAGUCAAAUUUUAACCAUUCAAUUCUACAUUUGAUUCUUAGAUAAAAUUGACAUUAUUAAGACGACAACAUAGAAUUUGAAAGCCGACAUUUCGACCAACCAUUGAAUUUAAACUUUCUAUUUCUGUUUUGCGGUUCAGCUUAUAAAAAUGAUUCUAUGUAAUCAUGAGAAUUCAAUCAUAGACCCUGAAUAUCAUAUCUUUUGACACACUGUAUACUGUUGUGCAGUUUCCUUGGAAAGAGAUAUCAAUCCUACCAGUUCAAUGGCAUGCUUUAUGUCUUGGCUUGUUUGCUUCAAUUAUCGCACCUUUCGGAGGCUUCUUUGCAAGUGGUUUCAAAAGGGCUUUUAAAAUAAAGGUAUGCUCUUGGCAUUUUAUUUUUCUGUUCAAUAUGCAAUCAUGCUAAUAUAUCACCCAUUUAAGUUCGAGGUAUAAAUAGAUAAAAUGGCUGUUCCCAUUUUCGUAGGAUUUUGGUGAUAGUAUUCCAGGACACGGUGGAAUUACCGACAGAAUGGACUGCCAGGUAGACUCUUGAUGUACAUAAUUUAAUUUAAAUUUAUAUUUCCAAUUACCAAAUUUAUUAGUCAUACAGGUUAAUAGGCUUAAUUUUUUUGAUGGAAUUGAAUAGAUUAAAUGUGAUCAACUACCUUUCUUAAUAUGCUUGUUUUGGUCAAUAUUUCUUGAAAUCCAAAGGAAGUAUAAAUCAAUUCGAAGUUGGGAUUACAUGGAAUAUCAUAAUAGGGAAACUAUAUUCAAAAGAAUCAAGACCAUAGUUCUCUCCCACAUCUCUGCCCUACCCUCAAAAGAAGAUAUAAAAAAAAGGAACUUCCAAGGAAGAAAAUGAUGAAGCAUUAAAGAUGGUCCUGCACAUUAAAAUUCACUUAAUUCUAGUAAUUGAAAACAUUCAGACCUCAUAGGAUCUUCAAUGAACUUCCUGAAAAUCUUCAAUGACUAAUAAUCAUGCAAUCAAUAGAAUGUUUUUAUAUCAUAUGUGAAAGUGGGUAGAGAUGUUUUGCGCUUAUUUUAUUGUAUGUAGUUAUAUACUGAUCUACUUUUGCUCCUCUACUUGUCACUAAUUUUAAUUUAACUCCUUUAUACUAUUUGUAUCUUUAGUCCUUUUAGUAUCCUGCUUUUAUGUGCAAGUAGAAGUUAAGUAAUAUUUGACCAAUUUGUCCUUGUGUAGAUGGUUAUGGCCGUGUUUGCAUAUAUAUAUCAUCAGUCCUUUGUCGUGCCACAAAGUUUAUCGGUUGAAAUGAUUUUGGACCAGGUAUUGUAUUUUAAAAAUGAUAGCAGCAAUACACUCUUUUAAAUAACAUUUUGAAAGAUGUUGUAUUUAUGGCAUUUAUGCUGGUUGCUUCAGAUAUUGAUGAACCUAUCAUUCGAUGAACAAGAAGCUCUGUAUAGGAGGCUUGGAGAAAUGUUGCAACAAGGAAUUGAAAGGAUGUCUUAGAUCCAUUGCGAGGUGUAUUUGUCCUUUCUCCUAUUUGAUUCCUUCAUUUACAAGGGAAAUGGAAAAAAGAUACUUUUGAAUGCGCGUUCUAUCUUAUGAGUGAAACGAAACAAAGAUUCAGGAACCUGUCAAGAUGUGUAUAGUGUGUACUUUGACAGUUAAAACAUCCCCUUCUGUUUCUCUCGCUACUGUUAUUGAAUAUUCUAUUGAUUGAUUUACUUGAACAGCCAUUACUCGCCGAAUAUCUUGGAAUAUUCAAAUAGCCAAUGGCAGCCCAAGAGGAACGCCUGUAUUGUUACUCAAUUCCUUGAGGGGAGUGUUAACAUUUUUAAAUUAACUGUAAUUUGAGUGAUGUUGGAUAGUUGAUUGAUUCCAUUGCGAUAAACAAUAUCUUGUUCUACAUACUAUGACAUGUUGCAAAUAUUGUGAAGGGAAACACAAACUAUAUACCUGUCUGUACUGACUUAUCUGAGUUUAUCUACUGACAUGAGAUUGUUUGAGAAUUUAUGAAAUUCUCUCAUGAAUUCACCAGUUUUUAUGUUUGCCAUACUAUUACUAACACUAUGAAAUCAUACUUUAAGCUCUGAUUUUCACCUUGAUUUGGAUUUAAAGCUCCCAUGCUUUAUGCGUGAUUGUGUUGUUUUCUUGAAUUGUCUUUUUUCUUGGGCGUUACACACAACAGAAUUGAUUACUCCAAAGUCAAAAGGGAUUUUGAACAUGAUGCAAAUUAAAUCACUAUCAAAUCAUACUUGUUAAGUUCUGAUUUUCACCUUGAUUUGGAUUUAUAGGUGUUUUUUUCUUGCAUUGUUGUCUUUUUUUUCUCUGGAAAUUACACUUACAAAAUUUAUUACUCCCUAGUGAAAAAGGAUUUGGAACAUGAUGUGAUUUAAAUUUCUAUCUACCUGAGACUGAGAGUGUGGUGUUGAAUUUUAUUUUGAUUAAAAAAAAUAUACAACUUGCAUUAUGAUUCAAUGAUUUAAAUCUCUAUCUAUGAGACUUAGAGUGUCUUGUAUCUAAAAUAGUGUUUGAUUAUGCUAUGAAGAAAAUUAUUAGAGUGAAUUGAUUUUAUACAUUUUUUUUGUCUAAAAAGAGUGAAGGUAAAAUGAUUAAUGUUUGGAUAAAUUAUUGCAAAAUUGAAUUGACAUCAAUUAUUUUAGAUUCAAAAACUAUUGAUCCUAUAUUCAAGAAUAUAAUCAAACAUAUUAAAAUUAAUUCUACACACGUUUGGAAUCAAUUGAAUCCUCCAAGUGAAACUAAUGACACAAUUUACUCAAAAUUCUGAGUUUGUAUCCGGGUCAAAAAUCUGGGUCACUACAUUUCUUUCAGGUAAAUGUUUAAUAAAGUAGUAGUGUUGAUUAAGGAUUAAUAAUAAAAAUAAUAUAUAAACAAUAUUUUUUUAUUUUAAAAACAAUAACUUUUAUUUUUGUAAAAAAAGAUUUUCACUAUCGUUAAACUGAAAUUAUUUUUGAAAAUAUGUUAGUCAUAAUUAUUGCCACUUAAAUGACUUCUUGCACAAUAAAUUUUUAGAUUUUCAUAUCACUUCAUACUUUUGAAAAGAUUGAGUUAUCAGAAAGACAUAGGAAAGACUAUACUUACCAAUUUCGCCAAUAUAGUUUUAAAUCAUGAACAAUAGUGUUAUAGUUUUCUGAUAUUGUAAAAUUCUUCACACAUGAAUAGUAGCAGUGAUUUUUAGUUUACUGAUAUUGUAAUCCUUCACAUGAUCAAUGAUUAAAUAUCGACUUUUUUCAGCUUAUAAAUCAAAUUUUCAAUGAUAAUAAUAUAGAUAAAACUUCAGUAGACAGAGAUUAUUAGCCACACAUUAUUGCUCUAAUAAUGUCUCAUUCCAACCUAGCCUUGAAACUUUAAGGGAAAUUUCUCAAUGAAAGCAAUGUUUAAAGCUCCAUAAGUUAAUAACAUACUCAAGAACUCAACUAGAAAAGGUUACAUAAUAUGUUACAAUUAAAAAUGUGGUAUGAAACUGAGAAACAAACAACCAUGUUACUGCAAAACUUUUGGUUGUCAUAAGUAGUGUUAACAAAAGUCUCAGACCAAGAAAGCAUCCAUAUGGCUUUAAAUAUGGUACAUGUCCUAAAGCUGCAACAGAAUAUAUAAAAAAUUAUCAUCACUUAAACCAAUCUAAAUCAGAAAAACAAAACUGAGAACCAAGGGCGAACGAAACACAGAUAACUCUUCCAAUAUGUAUCAUCAUGAUAUAUAAACUUUCAUCUUCUACUAUCUUCUCUUAUUGGCUUUUUGGCUUCUCAAUCUUCACAUACGGCAAAACACCAAACAGACAAACAAUUUUCGGAGACCAGCCACGUUGUUGAGCACGGCAAAACAUCAAGAAUGUGUUUGCAAAGUAGGAAUUGAAGCCCAUGAAAACAUGCCAUAAAGCAUGACCCUGUGGAUUAACUGGCCAUUGGGAUAUCUCCUUGCAGAAAACUCGAUCGCAUAACCAAAACAAACUUCCUAAUAGAAGAGUGGCUACAUAUAGCUUUGCUAUCAGCUUGGCACACGCAUCUGCAGUAUAGAUGUAAUACUUGUACAUUCUUGGAAUGCAGAGGAGACAGAGAAAGACGUAGUGGACUUUGAAGCCAAUGCCAAACCGGACAAAUGAAUGGACACCGGCAAAAGCAAUACCAUACAGAAAUAGGAAUAUGGGCAUUGUACUACGGUAGUGCCAAUCUGGAGAGUAGAGGAUGUACAUGUACAGCAGAAUCUCCCACACCAUAGGAGUUUCGUCACUCUGCUGUUGCCUAAAUUAAAGUGAAACAUUUGAAGAAUAAAUAAUCACCCAAAAACAGAUAUUAAUUUACAAACUUCUUUCUUUUAUAAACUAUGACAAACUUAAUAAUCAAACUACGCAUUCCGGUAGAAUAUGAGAUGCAUUUUAUGCAUAUGAAGAAAAUUCCAAACCCUCAAAUGACGAUGGUUAACUAGCUCUUAGCACCAAAAAAGUUUAACAAUCAACACUCAAAUAUAAUGAAACAGUUAUUGCAUAGUCACAAUAUCAUUCUAGAUCUAUCUAACCCUUUUGAAAAUAAAACCCUUCCUCCCAGUAGCAAAAAUAAGGUCGAUUAGCAUAGGGUAUGAAGAAAUACAAGGAGGGAAAAAGGAUGAAGUGGCAUAAAAAUUAGCCUCUUAAUUCAAAUGCAUAAGUGUCUUGUGUGUAUCAAAGUGUGGUCAAAUAGAGGAGUAAAUUUGUGCAAAUCUAUAUGGUUCUGCGAUAUGCUAUUUAGUACAAAGCGUUGUCAAAUAGCAACUAUAGCAGGGCUAUAGCACUGUAACAUAGACAAACUACUAUAUUUCAUGAGCCGCAGUUAACCUAAGUGGUGAAUCAGAAAUGUAUAUGUAUAUAAUAAUUGAUUUAUAUUUAUGAGGUUAGAGAAACAAACAGCAAAAUUGAAUGAAUUACUGCAAAAGAAGACCAAAAUCAAUACUUACACAUGUUGUAAGGUAGCAUGGUAUAACAUGCUUCCAAAGGCAAGCGUCAUAUUAGAUACGUGAAGAACACUAAAUCUUUUCUCAAACCGUUGUCUAAAAGCAUUUAUAAGACCAAUGAGAGCCAAAAGAAUGGUUGGAAUGUUGGAUAUUGUGUUGUAAAAUUCCGCAAUAUAAGAUGAAUAUGCAUAAUUUUUUUCACAACACUCUAUAGUUGACGUGACUGGACCCCAAAAGCUAGAUAUCGUUUCUGCCAUUCUCCUCUACAGCCAGACGGUUUUCUUAUCAAAUUAUCCGUAUAUAAAGCUGCAGAGAUCACAAAUUCCUGCAAAUAAUGUGGCAACAUGGAAAAAUACAAUCAGUCGUACAAUUUGUUCAUAGGGAUGGAGAUAAUAAGGCAGAAAGUAUCCAUGAUAUACUACUACAACAACAACAACCAAGCCUUAUCCCACUAAGUGGAAUCGACUACCUGGACCAAUUUUCGUGAUAAUGUUCUAUCCAGGACCAUGCUUCUAUCCCAGUCAACACAAUAUGAAAAACAACAUAAAAGUUUCAAUCUACUAUAGUUUCAACUCCGAGUAAUAAGUAAACUGUUUGUACAGAACCUAUAAGGAUUUACAGUUGAGAAAUUAGUAUCCAGUGCUGUCAAAUAGCAACCGUAUAGUGCCAUUACAUAGUCUAAUUUUCGCAAACCGAUACCGUUCACAUACACAAUUUAAUACAAAAUAUUGUCAAAUAACUGCUAUGGUAGCGCUAUAGCAUAGCAGAAUUGAAACAAACUAUUAUUUUCUGUGAUCCGCGGUCGACAAACACAGGUAUUACCUAACAUGAAAAACAACAAUGUAGAUACAAAUGCAAGAAAUAAAGUAAAAAAACCUAAUAAUGGGCGCUGGAAAAUACCUAUGUAUAAGAAUACAAAAUUGAGCAACACAAUGUUCAAACAAUGAAUUCAGCAAUGUCUAAUACACCCUAACAAGCAUACAUCAAAAGGAAACAAAAGGUAAACUUCUAUCAACCAUCCACCACAACAGUGAGUACCAAACAACAACUUCAACACAGACAAAAACUGCAAUUCUGGUCUAAAAAAUCCAGAAUUUGAAGAUAUAGAUAACCAGAUCCGACAAGGAUUAAAAUAAAAUAAAAUCGUAAAAAUAAUGAAACAAAAUCGUAUGCAGGAGUGGAAUUGGAUCCAAUCUGAGUUGGGGGAAAAAAUAAAAGUAGAAUUUGCAUGUGCAAAAUAAGAAAAGCAAUAAUAGAAGUAAUAAUGGAAAAAGAUGCAUACUUGAGGAAGAAAAAGAAAUCGAUUGUGAAGAAAUAGGUAGAUCUCAUCUCAUGACUUUCUCUGUGUUUGUGUUUGAAAUAAUAUUCGGUCAGAGAGGGAUGGCAUGGGCCGGAUAAUCUCUUUUUCUCGUACGGCGUGACCUUAAACGGAACUAAUUUUGGGGUUAAUUAGGUUUUUUUUUAUAAUUAAUCUCGGCAAAUCAGCAAAAUUUUAUUUUGAUUCUUGUAAAAUUUCAACAAUAUAAUUUUGAUUGAGAGUAUAUAUACGUACGGACAAUAUUAUAAUUGAUUGAGAUUUGAGAGUAUAUUACUAAGAUAAGUGUGGCCGCACAAGUAUUUAAACCGUAUAAUAUAUAUUUCGACUCACAAGAUGAAAAAUAAUUGUCUAAAUUAUUAUUUAAUAGUAUUAUUUAAUUUGAUAAAAUAAAUUUUUUAAUUUUACUUAAAAAAUUAAAAAAUAAAUUAAUUAGUUUAUUUAGUGAUAAUAAAUCAAUAGAAUUGAUUAAAUAUAUCAUAAAUAAAAAAUAUUUCAAACUCACGUGUGAACUUAGCAUAUAUAAUUAAAAAUAUUCUUCACAAUAAAAUUUUAUUAGAAUAUUAUUUAAUUUUUCUUGGAUAUUUAUUUAACAAUUUUCAAUUUAUAAAAAAAAUGAGAUUAAUUACUAUACACUUUCAGUGUAAAAAGUUUUACAUUGCCGAUUCAUCACCAUCAUCCGUUUGUAUUACUUUAUAAAUUUUUAAAAUAAAAAUUAAUCUUCUUUUAAUAUCUGACGUCUAUGAUUAACUGAUGGUGUAAAAUCAUUUUACACUGUCAAUGUAUUUCAAUUAAACUCAAAAAAAAAAUUAUAUCAUUCAUAUUUGAAUACUAACUCCACGUUUAAACAAAAUAUACCUUUACUAUAUCUCAAAUACAUCUCAUUAACAUCAUAAAGAAAUAUUAGUAGACGUUUAAAAAACAUAUUUACAUAACUAAAUUAUAUAAUAUAAUUUGAUAAAAAUUCAAUAAUUAAAAAAUAUAUUUUGAACUAAUGUUAAAUUGCAACAAAAAAAAACAAUGUAAAAGCAUUCAUUCCAAUUUAAUGCUAGAUUUUUAGUUCAUAAUGUAGAUGAUAAAAUAUACGAACAAAAUUAAAUAAUUAAAAUAAUUUUAACAAAAGACAAUAUAUAUUUUAUCCAUCAUAUUCUCAAUUAACUAAUAAACACUAAUAUUCUUUUCUUUGAAUUCAUUAGAAUAUAAUUUGUUUUUAUUGUAUAUACUAAAAUAUCUUUGAAUUCAUUAUGAUACAUAAUUAUUGUUUCUAUUUGAUUAUUAGAUAUUGAAUUAAGAGUUAUGUUUAAUUUUAAUAGAAAGUAUAAUAGUGGUUUAUGACACAUUAAAUUUACACAAAAUUAUAUAAUUUAACCAUUCUUUAAUCCUAAUUUUUAUAUUUAAAAUGACAUUUAUAUUCUUAUUUGUCAUUAAUCUCGUUAAUUCUUAUUUAUUAUGGGAGAAAAAAAUUGAUACAAAUUAAGGGUGACAAACGUCAUGCUCUGUUUAGGAUGUUGACUGCUUCGCAAAACCUAAAAAAAUAUAGGAUGAAGAUAAUUGAGGAUGCAUAUCUAAAACCUUCGUCGCUAUGAAAAAAAAUGAGGACGAGACGGGAAAAACCCGCAUGCACAACACUUUUUAAAUAUAAAAACACAAAAAUUUAUAUAAAUGCACACGUCUACACAAAAAUCCAUAAAAAAAUGAAAAUCCAUAAAAAAAAUGAGGCAGGACGAGACAAACACAAUAGAAGAUUCGCAUUAAAAUGCUUCGCAUUAAAAUGCGGACAAAAUGGUCAUAAUAAUAUGUCCUUUUCGCCACCCAGAGCCUAUGAUUUAUGUCUUUAUUAUUUUCUCACUUUUAUAAUUAAUGUACCUUUUUAUAUUUACUCUAAUUUUUAUUUUAGUAAUUUUUUAUAUAAAGCAGAAGAAAGAUUGGUAGAAAAACGUGAAAUAGAUUAUUUUUUCUUAUAAAUUUUUUUAACAAAAAAGAAAAUAUAUCAACAUCUUUUUUCUUUUCAUAAUAUCUAAUCCCAAGCUCAUUUUCUAUCCGACCAUAAUUGUAUGUCAUCUUAAUAUUUUUUUAAUAUACUCAUGCAUACCGACCAUAAUUGUAUGUCAUCUUAAUAUUUUUUAAUAUACUCAUGCAUAGUAUUAACUAUCUUAUACAAAGUCACAUCAAAUAUUCAUAAAAUAAUAGCAUCAUCUGACUACUAAACACUGCAAAUACCACACAUUUUUACUAAACCAAACAUAGGCUACUUACCAUUUUUAUUUUUGUGAAAUAGCAAAAUAAGUUGAAUUGAUAACCAAAUAUGACAUAAGUUUGCAUGUACAAAUACAAACAGAAACAGACAGAAUCUGAAAAACUAAGAACACCCAACAAAACAACCACUUAAGCCUAAAAAACAAAUUAAAUUACAACAUAUAAAAACAACACAGCAACAUCAUGUUAACUAUACCCAAGUGAUAAACAAACACAGCGAGAUUUCUGACUAAGAUUUUCAAUAACUUCAUUAUCAUUAGGGAGUUCCUGUUUCAAGGCCCGGUAACUCUGAAACUUAGUCAAAUGAAAAAAUAUUGCCCCAAGUCCCAACAAAAGAAGAAAAAAGGGAAUUGGAACAUAUCAGCAAUGGAAAUGUAGCAUUCAACCGAAAUAAUCCAUAGGACAAACAUAAGCAAAUUCAAGAUAAAUAAUCCAUAGAGCAAACAUCAAUAAAUUAUCAACUAAGAGUACAACAUGUUACCUUAAUACAUAGUUUUAAAGAUGGAGAAAGUUCUUAUGGUAUGACCUCGUCACAUGAUGAGUCAAAAAAAUUCUUUAGUUCAGCUUGAGAAAUCUGCACUUAGAUGAUUGAUAGAAAUUUAACAAUUCAUGAAGAGGUUUGAUUCUAAUAAUUCUCUAAUAGUUCAUAGAUGCAUUAUGUUAUCUUGGUAAACACGUGCAAAUGGCUAAUUGAUCCAAGAAGCGCCACUUAUUAACCACUCAUUAAACCUUGUUAACCAUUUGAACGGUAAAUUAUUCAUAAAAAAAAAGACCAAAAAUAUCCAUUACAGUAAUUUUCCAAAACAAAAUAAAUAUUGCUAUACAUUUUUAUCGAUAUUUGUACCGUAGUAUUCCUGGUACACAUUUCAUGCUCAUCAUUUAACUGCAUAUUAUAAAAGAAAUGUUAAAAAUAUGCUUUAGAUUAAAAUAAUCAAUAUGCCAAAGGGUUCAACUAUUUUCCAUCCAAACACUGUGGUAAAUAAGUUUCUCCAAUCCAUAAGAAAUUGAAUUAAACCAAGAAGCUAGAACAAUACAUAAUGACAAGUUAACAAAAUCGAAAAGAUCUUCAGCAUAUUUGCUUGAUCUUAAAAGUUUUUUUUAUCAAUGUUGCAACAUCCACACUUCCUAAGGCUAUUACUUUAUAUUGUUUUGCAUCCAUAUGAACUUGAUAAAUACACAAAAGACCCCAAUAAAUAAAUAAAUUACAUGCACAUAAAAAAUAAAAAAAUAAAAGCAAAACUCAAAAAGAUUCUAAUAAUUACAAACAACAAUUUUUUAAAAGUAUGAAAUUUCCUUUGAAGUUUUGAAAAGUGGCAUUCAUGUUCGGUUGAAUAUAGGCAAUAAAUCAUCAAUAUUUUGAGUAAACUAAACAAUUCUAUUUAUCAGAGUUUGAAUAUGACUCUAAAGAUGAGUACCUUCAAUUCUUUGAUAAUGGAUGUAGAUUACUUCACAAAGUGGAUCGAGACGGAAGUUUUCGCCAAAAUUAUAGCAGAAAGAGUUCAUCGUUUCUACUGAUAGAAAAUCAUGUGCAAGUUUAGGCUUCCUGGAGCCAUUGUCUCCGAUGACGAGACUCAAAUUUCUAACACUAUGGUCAUUGACUUUUGCCGAGAUUUAGGAGUAAAAACAAAGUUCAUAUCCAUUGUGAACCCCAAAGCCAAUGAGCAAGCUGAAUCUGCAAACAAGGUAAUCCUUAAGGGACUCAAUAAGAAGUUUGAUGGCGCCAAAGGCUAAUGGGAAGAACUGCUCCAUGAAAUAUUAUGGUCAUAUCACAAGACUUCUCACUCUACUACUAAGGAAACUCCAUUCACCAUGGUAUAUGGAGCAUACUCCAUGCUUCCUCUGGAAAUUGACACGCCCUCGUGGCGACACCCAAAGUUUAAUCAGGAUGUAAACAAGAAGGAUUGAAAUGUGUGGCAGACUUGAUCGAUGAAUUGAGAGAGAUCGUCCAUAUUCGAGAAUUCUCCGCCAAGCUUAGAUCCGCAAAAAGAUACAACUCCUAAGUCAACCCGAGGGAGACACGAGAAGGUGAUCUAGUCUUAAAGAAAGUGGUUUUACUUGUGCAUCAUGGAAAACUACAACCCAACUGAAAGGGAGCAUAUUGCAUAUUAUAUAAGCUCUCUCACAGGGAAUAGAAGUUGCAGGAGCUGGGCAGCCAACUCCUGCCCAGAACUUGAAACACUCUCCAUA